GGGCCACAAUCUACCGUUCAUGUGCCAGUGUAGUCGAUGUGCCUCGCAUGCCCACGAUACAUGCACCCCUUCUCAAUGUGCACAUAGACGUAAAUGCAUCUUUCAGCAAACGGAUCAAAGCAAACAAUGUUAGGCGAUCAAUCUGAACGACAAUGCGAUCAAUCUGAACGAAUAUUUGUUAUUGUCAUGAACUGAGCUGCGAAUUUUGUAUUGACGUGGCACUCAUAGCUGAAGACGCCAGUCCAUUGUUCCAAGAAUUUGACGCGAAUAACAAGACUGCGGUAUUUUACUGCGAGAGCACCAAUGGAGUCUUGAACAAGAAAGAAAAACAAUGAGAAAAAAGAAACAGCACAGAUUUAUUGAUCAUAUACUCAGCGCUCAAAUUUCUAUAAAAGGGACCAUCACUUUAGGAACAGCAUACAGCCCCCUGCGAGUUGCGCUAAACAUGGGAAACAUUUCAAGCUUCUGCUUCAUGCUCAUAUUGACCGCAUUUCUUAUUCUGGCAGUGAUACAAGAAGAUGGCGGCUCUCUUGUCCUUGCAGGACGUCGACGACGAGGAGGAGGUGGAGGAGCAGGCUAUCAUGGUGGACGGAGAGGCGGCCUUGGCGGAGGGGGUGGAGGCGGUCAAACGAGCAUGGGUCGAUGAGCCACUUCAAAACAAACACAUUGGAGGCUGCCCACCGGCGUUGUCAAUAUGCACCCAAUAAACAGCUACAAGCUCGUUCA